rnacentral:lncRNA from 1 species
CAACUAAGAACAAUAUAUUGUUUAAAUAUUCUAGAGAAAAGAUUUUUGCUUUAUAAUUUAGUUGAUUUUCUUAUGUUUCAAAUAAUAUCAACUCCUUAAUAAGUGCUAAGGGAAGUAUAAUAACAUGGUUGGUUAAUAAUUAAAUCUGUUGCAAUAGUUUUUGGCUUUGGAUUAAUACUGAUGAUCCCUUGGUAACUAUGCAGUUCAGGAAUGAAUACGGAACUUACUUC